rnacentral:rRNA from 1 species
GACGAACGCUGGCGGCGUGCUUAACACAUGCAAGUCGAACGGAAAGGCCCUGCUUUUGUGGGGUGCUCGAGAGGCGAACGGGUGAGUAACACGUGAGUAACCUGCCCUUGACUUUGGGAUAACUUCAGGAAACUGGGGCUAAUACCGGAUAGGAGCUCCUGCUGCAUGGUGGGGGUUGGAAAGUUUCGGCGGUUGGGGGUGGACUCGCGGCUUAUCAGCUUGUUGGUGGGGUAGUGGCUUACCAAGGCUUUGACGGGUAGCCGGCCUGAGAGGGUGACCGGCCACAUUGGGACUGAGAUACGGCCCAGACUCCUACGGGAGGCAGCAGUGGGGAAUAUUGCACAAUGGGCGGAAGCCUGAUGCAGCAACGCCGCGUGCGGGAUGACGGCCUUCGGGUUGUAAACCGCUUUCGCCUGUGACGAAGCGUGAGUGACGGUAAUGGGUAAAGAAGCACCGGCUAACUACGUG